AAACUUUGGAGGACUUCAAUUAGUUUUGUGAAUGAAUCGGAAGAGAGAGGUGUUGGCUUUCUAAAAUCACUGAUCUGUCUCCUCUCUUCUCUUCUAUCUCUCACUUGCAGGCUUCCGAUCCGCCCAGCUCUUCGAUCCCACUGUGUUUCUCUCUGCUUGCAGACCCUUCUACACAAGGUCUGCGUCAUGCUAGCAUCCCAUUAACUCAAAGGGCGUGAGAGUGCGAUAAUAGAACCCAUGGGGACUGAAAAUCCUGCUCAUCAGAAUUUUCCUACUAGACCUGCCGCCACACCUUUUGCUGCCACUCAGACCACUUCACCAUUUUCAUCUUCUGGUCCUGUAGUUGGAUCAGACAACACUCGUUUUAGACCUGCCUCUCCUGCUAUGCCCCCAAACACAAUGCCUUUUCCUCCAUCCUCGGGUCCUGCAGUUGGAUCAACGGUUCCUGGGUUUAGACCUAUGCAACCGAGUAGGUAUUCUGAUCCAUCCGUUCCACCCCCACCAACAUCAAGCGUCCCAGCAACUGCUGGACCUUUCCAGAGUUUCCCAGCUCCGCAGUUUACUUCACCAUCUCAACCACCUCCUUCACGAAUUCCACCAAUGGGGCAACCCCCUGCAGCUUAUGUACCACCACCCCCAGUUUCCUUUCACCAGCAAAGUCAGAUUCCUUCAGUGCCUAUGGGAUCACCUCCUCAAAUCUUAGGUCCUCCCCCAACAAAUGUUCCACAGCCUAUGUCAGAUCCAUCUUUUCCAUCAGCCAGGCCUAAUUUUCAGUCCUCUUUGCCUGGUUAUGUCCAUAAGCAACCUAAUGCAGAUUUACAGUCCCAACAAAUGCAACCUCCUCCUUUUGUUAGUCACCAAGGGCAGUAUGUUCCUCCUUCAGCACCAGCUUCCCCUUUCCUUCGUCACCAAGGAGGUUAUGUCCCCCCUCCUCCUGCUGCAGCCUCUCAAGGUUUGCUGUCUACGGACCAAAAGCCCUAUCCAGGCACUGGACCUCCUCUUGGUUCCAUUCAAGGAUUAGCUGAAGAUUUCAACUCGCUUUCUAUUGGAUCUAUUCCUGGAUCAAUUGAUGCAGGCAUUGAUCCAAAAGCACUUCCAAGGCCAUUGAAUGGUGAUGAAGAACCUAAACUGUUUUCCGAGAUGUACCCCAUGAACUGCGAUCAAAGAUAUUUACGUUUUACAACCAGUGCUAUUCCCAGUUCCCAGUCAUUGGUCUCAAGGUGGCAUUUACCUCUCGGAGCAAUUGUUUGUCCACUUGCAGAAGCUCCUAAUGGGGAAGAAGUGCCAGUUAUCAAUUUUGCUUCAACUGGCGUCAUCCGCUGUAGGAGGUGUCGCACUUAUAUAAAUCCAUAUGCCACAUUCACAGAUGCUGGAAGAAAGUGGCGCUGCAACAUUUGUUCUCUGCUCAAUGAUGUUCCAGGAGAUUAUUUUGCCCAUUUGGAUGCCACUGGUCAGAGAAUUGAUUUGGAUCAACGACCUGAGCUCACUAAGGGUAGUGUGGAUUUUGUUGCUCCAACCGAGUAUAUGGUUCGGCCACCUAUGCCUCCACUAUACUUUUUCCUUAUUGACGUUUCUAUAGCUGCAGUUAGAAGUGGGAUGUUAGAGGUUGUGGCACAAACAAUUAGGUCAUGCUUGGAUGAGCUGCCUGGUUCAACUAGAACACAAAUAGGUUUUGCGACUUUUGACAGCACAAUACAUUUCUAUAAUAUGAAGUCGACUUUGACUCAGCCGCAAAUGAUGGUGGUUUCCGAUCUGGAUGACAUAUUUGUACCCUUGCCAGAUGAUCUCCUUGUCAAUUUGUCUGAAUCAAGAACUGUGGUGGAAUCAUUCCUAGAUAGCUUGCCGUCCAUGUUUCAGGACAAUGUGAAUGUUGAAUCUGCCUUUGGCCCGGCCCUUAAAGCAGCAUUUAUGGUUAUGAGCCAACUGGGGGGGAAGUUGUUAAUUUUUCAAAACACGUUGCCAUCUCUUGGUGUUGGCCGCUUGAAGUUGCGUGGAGAUGAUCUUCGUGUUUAUGGAACAGACAAAGAACAUUUACUAAGACUGCCAGAGGAUCCAUUCUACAAACAAAUGGCUGCUGAAUUUACCAAGUUCCAAAUUGGGGUCAAUGUCUAUGCAUUUAGUGACAAGUAUACAGAUAUUGCUUCCUUGGGGACUUUGGCAAAAUAUACUGGAGGCCAGGUGUAUUAUUAUCCAGGCUUCCAAUCAUCCUCUCAUGGGGAAAAGUUGAGACAUGAGUUAGCAAGGGACUUGACCAGAGAAACUGCCUGGGAAGCUGUAAUGCGUAUAAGAUGUGGAAAAGGGAUCCGCUUUACAUCAUUUCACGGAAAUUUUAUGUUAAGAAGCACCGAUUUAUUGGCACUUCCAGCUGUAGAUUGUGAUAAAGCAUUUGCAAUGCAAAUUUCUUAUGAAGAGACCUUACUAACAACUCAGACAGUGUACUUCCAAGUUGCCUUGCUAUAUACUGCAUCUUGUGGAGAGAGACGUAUUAGAGUGCAUACAGCAGCAGCACCUGUGGUUACAGAUUUGGGUGAGAUGUACCGCCAGGCUGAUGUUGGUGCUAUUGUUUCCUUGUUUAGUAGGCUAGCCAUUGAGAAAACGCUGUCCCAUAAGCUGGAGGAUGCUCGCACUUCAGUUCAACAAAGAAUUGUUAAAGCCUUGAGAGAGUAUCGUAACCUCUACGCUGUACAGCAUCGCUUGGGAGGCAGAAUGAUAUAUCCAGAUUCUCUUAAGUUCUUGCCUUUAUAUGGAUUAGCAUUGUGCAAAUCAGUGCCUCUUCGAGGGGGUUACGCUGAUGCUGUGCUUGAUGAACGAUGUGCAUUAGGCCUUGCAAUGAUGAUUCUUCCUGUUAAAAACCUAUUGAAGCUUUUAUAUCCCUCAUUAAUUCGACUCGAUGAGUAUCUAUUGAAGGCAUCUCCCGCUCAGACUAUUGACCUUAAUAGCAUAGAGAAAAGAUUGCCACUGGCCGCUGAUAGCUUAGAUUCCAGAGGCCUGUACUUGUAUGACGACGGCUUUCGCUUUAUUGUUUGGUUUGGUAGAGUGCUUUCACCUGAUGUGUCUAUGAAUUUACUUGGGGCAGACUUUGCAGCAGAACUAUCAAAGGUCAUCCUGAGUGAUCAUGAUAAUGUAAUGUCAAGAAAACUAUUAGAGACGCUCCAGAAAUUUAGAGAAACUGACGCUUCAUACUAUCAGCUAUCUCAUCUCGUUAGACAAGGUGAACAACCUAGAGAAGGGUUCCUCCUUCUAGCAAAUCUUGUUGAGGACCAAGUGGGUGGCACGAAUGGUUAUGUUGAUUGGCUUCUACAAAUACAUCGGCAAGUUCAGCAAAAUGCUUAAUACAAGAAAAGGAGAAUUAUUGAGAUCAAUGGCAAAUGUUCUUCACCAGGCCAAGGCAGAGUUGAGUUAUCAAGGACAAAAUUUGGCAUAAAGUAGCGCGUUGUCUCGGAAACAAUGGAAGAUUUUACUGGAUGCCACGAGAGGGAUUCAGCUUCAACAACUAGCUCCAGGAAGCAACAUGGAUUUGGAUUCGGCUGCUUCAUAAAUUUGUUACCAGAUAGAUUUUUUUUUGGUCUUUUAACAAUAAUUUUUCCCCUUCUUGAGAGGUUGUCACCAGUAUAGGGAUAUCUACAUCAGAUGUUACUUUAUUUUUCUUAAUCUAUUAUGUUGUCUAUAUCUCACCCCUAGAUUUGGGUAGAAUUGUUGCAAAAGCUUUGGCCACUUCUUUCGAUUUUUGUUUGGUUAUACAACUUUAAUUUUGACCUAGUUCUUGAGAUGGUUGUUUGAAGGAAGUUCUGUAAUUUUACAACUGGAACUAGAUAUUAUUUAUUAUUCAUAUUUAUUCAGCCAA